rnacentral:rRNA from 1 species
AGGACUAACGCUGGCGGCGUGCCUAACACAUGCAAGUCGAACGGACACCACUUUGUAGCAAUACAGAUGAAGUGUUAGUGGCAGACGGGUGAGUAACACGUGAGCAACCUGCCCUUAGCUUCGGGAUAGCUCCGGGAAACCGGAAUUAAUACCGAAUAUGAUUUUUGCUGACAUCAGCAGAAGUGGUAAAGUUUUUCGGCGUGGGGAUGGACUCGCGGCCUAUCAGCUUGUUGGUGGGGUAAUGGCCUACCAAGGCGACGACGGGUA